GAUGAAGAACGUAGCGAAAUGCGAUAAGUAAUGUGAAUUGCAGAAUUCAGUGAAUCAUCGAAUCUUUGAACGCAUCUUGCGCUCCUUGGUAUUCUGAGGAGCAUGCCUGUUUGAGUGUCAUUAAAUUCUCAACUACACUGACUUUGAAUUGGUGUGGCUUGGAUUUGGGUGGAAAAUUGUUGUGGGCUUUUUGUAUAGUCUGCUCCCCUGAAAUUGAUUAGCGGUACCUUUGUGGAACUGUCUACAGGUGUGAUAAUUAUCUACAUCUUAGACAUCUGCUGGAAUGCUGCUUUCUAAACCUUACUUGUAUUGACAAUCUUGACCUCAAAUCAGGUAGGACUACCCGCUGAACUUAAGCAUAUCAAUAAGCGGAGGA
rnacentral:misc_RNA from 1 species